GGUCCGGUGGUCUAGUGGUUAGAGCGUCCGCAUCACAUGCGGGAGGUCGUGGGUUUUAUCUCCGGUCGAAUCA